GUAAAGAGCUUCGCUUCUGUGGAGCCUGCUGUGGGUGCUGGAGUGGAUUGAUUCUCCACUGGCAGACUCCUGACCCUCACUGCCUCCCCGAUGGAAGGAGGGAAAGAUCAACUAGGCUGGUGGGGCCAAGCCCCAUGGCAGUGGUAGAGAUGCUCAUGAGUCCUGUACAGGACUGUGUGGUCUUUGAGGAUGUGGCUGUAUAUUUCUCCCAGGAGGAGUGGGGCCUCCUUGAUGAAGCUCAGAGACACUUGUACCAUGCUGUGAUGACAGAGAACUUGGCACUCGUGACCUCCCUGGGUUGUUGGCAUGGAGCCCCGGGUGAGGAGGCCUCUUCUGAGCAAGGUGUUUCUAUAGGGAUGUCAGAGGUCAGGACUGCAAAGCCAGAUCCAGCCUCCAGGAAGGCCCAGCCCAGUGACAUGUGUGGUCCACUCUCCAGAGACCUUUUACCCCUGCCUGAGCAUGACGGAAUGUACCAUGAUGAAGGACUGUACAUUUGUGGAGCGGACCUUUUCCAGCACCAGAAGGAGAUUAGAGACAAACUUUGCAGAAGGGCUGAGGGGCAGCCUUCAAUUGUGACCAACAGCAGUGUUCACACAGGAGAGAGGACCUUGACCUGCAGCAGAGAUGGGAAGCCCUUCCCAGGCAGCACAGGCCUUCUGCAGCAGCUGGCCCCUCGUGGUGUGGGGCAGCCACAUGGGGACACUGAGUGCCAGGAGGCCUUUGGUCAUGAACAGAGUGGUUACAGGUGUACUCAGUGUGGGAAAGCCUUCAGCCGAAAACAGAUACUUGUUGAACAUCAGAAAAUCCACACUGGAGUAAGGCCUCAUGAGUGCAGCAUAUGCGGGAUGGCCUUCAUUAGAAAAUUUCACCUUAUUCAGCACCAGAGAAUCCACACUGGAGAAAGGCCUUUUCGGUGCGGUGAAUGUGGGAAAUGUUUUAGGUACAACUCCACGCUCAUUAGUCAUCAGCGAGUUCACACUGGAUUAAGGCCUUAUGAGUGCAGCAAAUGUGGGGAAUUCUUCAAGUACAAUGCCAACUUCAUGAAACAUCAGAGAAAGCACAAUGGAGAAAGGCCUUUUGAGUGCAGAGAAUGUGGAAAGUUCUUUAGGUAUAACUACAGACUGAUAAGACAUGGGAGAGUUCACACUGGAGAAACUCCUUAUCAGUGCAUUGAAUGUGGGAAGUUUUUCAGGUACAGCUCCACAUUCAUUAGACAUCAGAGAGUUCAUACUACAGAAAAGCCUUAUAAGUGUAAUGAAUGUGGGAAAUUCUUUAGGUACAAUUCCACACUCAUUAAACACCAGAGAGUUCACACCGGAGAAAGGCCUUACGAGUGCAGUGAAUGUGGAAAAUUUUUUAGGUACACAUCCACCCUCAUUAGACAUCAGAGAGUUCAUACUGUAGAAAGGCCUUAUGAGUGCAGCUUGUGUGGGGAAUACUUUAAGUACAAAUCCAAACUUAUUAAACAUUGGCAAAAUCACACUGGAGAAAGGCCUUAUGAGUGCAGUGAAUGUGGGAAGGCCUUUAGGUAUCACUGCAGACUCAUUAGACAUAAGAGAGUUCACAGUGGAGAGAGGCCUUAUGAGUGCAGUGAAUGUGGGAAAUUCUUUCGGUAUAACUCGAACCUCAUUAAACAUUGGAGAAAUCACACUGGAGAGAGGCCUUAUGAGUGCAGAGAAUGUGGGAAAGCCUUUAGCCACAAGCAUAUACUGGUUGAGCAUCAGAAAAUCCAUACUGGAGAAAGGCCUUAUGAGUGCAGCAGAUGUCACAAAGCCUUCAUUAGGAAGUCCCACCUUGUUCAUCACCAGAAGAUUCACACUGAAGACACUAUGAGUGCUGUGAAUGUGGGGAACUCUUUAGAUACAACCCCAACCUCAUGAAGCAGAGAGUUCAGUGGUAGAGACCUUAUGAAGGGGCCUGCUGUAUAGCACAGGAAACUAUUCAAUAUCGUGUAAUAAUUUAUAAUGGAAAAGAAUCUGGGAAAGAAUUUUAUUUAUAAACUGAAUCAUUUUGAUAUAUACCUGAAACACUGUAAAUCAACUAUGCUUCAAUUAAAAAACAAAAGACCAUAUAAGUACAGUUCAGUUCAGUCACUCAGUCGUGUCCGACUGUUUGCGACCCUGUGAAUCGCAGCACGCCAGGCCUCCCUGUCCAUCACCAACUUCCAGAGUUCACUCAGACUCACGUCCACCGAGUCAGUGGUGCCAUCCAGCCAUCUCAUCCUCUCUCGUCCCCUUCUCCUCCUGCCCCCAAUCCCUCCCAGCAUCAGAGUCUUUUCCAAUGAGUCAACUCUUCGCAUGAGGUGGCCAAAGUACUGGAGCUUCAGCUUUAGCAUCAUUCCUUCCAAAGAAAUCCCAGGGCUGAUCUUCAGAAUGGACAGGUUGGAUACAACAGCUAUGGUAAAAGAGUUACUACUCCAAACUCCUAACUCAUAGGUGCUGGAGAAGCCCCUAUGAGUUAUGCUGGGCUAUGUUCACUUCUAAGUACAGCAAACAUGGCGAGUUGUUUUGGUAUAGCGCCCCACUUUAGACAUCAGGAGUUCAUACCAGAGGCAAACCUUUUCCGUGAAUGUAAGUUUUUAGUUUAAACUCCAACCCAAUUACACGUCAGUGAUUUCGCAACGGAGCAAGGCCUUAGGGCAGCAGUUAUGGACAUGUGUUUUGCCAAAACUUCGACCUCAUUCAGCACCAAAAAGUUCACACUAGAGGCAGUAUUGCAAAUGGGGAAAGAUUAGCAAAUUGCUCUAUUCUGUCCCUCAGAACGUCUUUUUUUUUUUUUUUUGAUGGUAGUAAAAUAUAUAUAACUGCUGGGCUUCUCUGGUAGCUCAGCUGGUAAAGAAUCCACCUGUAAUGCAGAAGACCCCGAUUGGAUUCCUGGGUUGGGAAGCUCUGCUAGGGAAAGGACAGGCUACCCACUCCAGUAUUCUUGGGCUUCCCUGGUGGAUCAACUGGUAAAGAAUCUGCCUGCAAUGCAGGAGACCUGGGUUCAAUCCCUGGGUUGAGAAAAUCCACUGGAGAAGGGAAAGGCUAAUCACUCCAGUAUUCUGGCCUGGAGAAUUCUAUGGACUAUAUAGUCCAUGGGGUCGCAAAAGAAUUGGUCAUGACUGAGCGACCUUAGGGCUUCCCUGAUAGCUCAGUUGGUAAAGAAUCUACCUGCAAUGCAGGAGACCCUGGUUUGAUUCCUGGGUCAGAAAGAUCUGCUGGAGAAGGGAUAAGCUACCCACUCCAGUAUUCUGGCCUGGAUAAUUCCAUGGACUGUAUAGUCCAUGAGGCUGCAAAGAGUCAGACACAGCUGAGCAACUUUUACUUUCAUAUGUAACGAACUUUACCCUCUACCUUUUAAUGUUCGGUUAGUGUGUUAAAAAAUUAAUAUCUAGUCUCCAGAAUUCUUUUUCAUCUUGCAAAAACGAAACUUUGUACCCCUUAAACAACAGCUCUCUCUUCUCCCUCCCUACCCUACCUGUCUAACUCUUGUUUUACACUCUUGUCUAUGAAUUUGAUUAUUCUGGAUACUUUGCAUAAGUGUAAUCAUACAUUUUUUCAUCUCUGCAGCUGGCUUAUUUACCUUAGAAUAAUGUCCCCAUGUUGAAGCGUUUGUCAGCAUUUUCUUCUGUCUUGAGAAGGAAUCAGAAUUGACCUGCCUAAAACAUGGGGAAAGGUGCUGAUUGUCGAUACAAGUUUGUCUGAUAUGAUGACAUUUAGAGAAAUAAGAGAUCCUGAAUUUAUAUGGAACAUAUAUGAUAAUAGCUUUACUGAGGUAUUGGCAUACUCAAUUUCAUUUAUUAAAAUUGUAAACUGUAUUUUCACAUAGGUGUACACAGUGGGACUAUCACCAAAGUUGUGAUAAUGAACAUGUCCAUUACUUUCAGAGUUUCCAUUAGCACCAGCCCUACCCAAGUUGCCAUCUCCAGGUAGGCAUGGUAGUUUACAUUUUCUAGAAUUUUAUAUAAAAGAAAUCCUACAGGUAUUCUUAUAUGAAUUUUCACUAAGUUCAUAAAUAUAUUUUUUAUUAUAUUUGUGCAAAGGAAUGACAUCAAAUAAAAAUAAGCAAGGCUUUCUUAUGUAUUAGAGG
rnacentral:lncRNA from 1 species